rnacentral:rRNA from 1 species
CCUACGGGUGGCAGCAGUGAGGAAUAUUGGUCAAUGGCCGUAAGGCUGAACCAGCCAAGCCGCGUGAAGGAAGAAGGAUCUAUGGUUUGUAAACUUCUUUUAUAGGGGAAUAAAGGUAUCCACGUGUGGAUAUUUGCAUGUACCCUAUGAAUAAGCAUCGGCUAACUCCGUGCCAGCAGCCGCGGUAAUACGGAGGAUGCGAGCGUUAUCCGGAUUUAAUGGGGUUAAAGGGUGCGUAGGUUGUUUUUUAAGUCAGCGGUGAAAGUUUGUGGCUCAACCAUUAAAUUGCCGUUGAAACUGUAAGGCUUGAGUGUAGUUGAGGUAGGUGGAAUGCGUGGUGUAGCGGUGAAAUGCGUAGAUAUCACGCGGAACUCCGAUUGCGAAGGCAGCUUACUAGGCCAUAACUGACACUGAAGCACGAAAGCGUGGGGAUCAAACAGGAUUAGAUACCCUGGUAGUC